rnacentral:tRNA from 1 species
UUCCCUGUGGCUCAGUUGGUAGAGCACGGUGUUUGCAACGCCAGGGUUGUGGGUUUGAUUCCCACGGGGGGAA